rnacentral:rRNA from 2 species
AACGACUCUCGGCAACGGAUAUCUCGGCUCUCGCAUCGAUGAAGAACGUAGCGAAAUGCGAUACUUGGUGUGAAUUGCAGAAUCCCGUGAACCAUCGAGUCUUUGAACGCAAGUUGCACCCGAAGCCUUCCGGCCGAGGGCACGUCUGCCUGGGCGUCACGC